CUCUAAGGCCUAAAUACCCUAAAGGCACCAGAUCCCAUCUGACUUGGAAUCUAGGCAGGAUUAACCCUGUUUAGUAUUUGGAUAGGAGACCAUCUGUGAAUAUCAGGUACCGCAGGCU
rnacentral:rRNA from 1 species